rnacentral:rRNA from 1 species
AGAAGGUCUUCGGAUUGUAAACUCCUGUCUUUAGGGACGAUAAUGACGGUACCUAAGGAGGAAGCUCCGGCUAACUACGUGCCAGCAGCCGCGGUAAUACGUAGGGAGCGAGCGUUGUCCGGAAUUACUGGGUGUAAAGGGAGCGUAGGCGGGGCGGCAAGUCAGGUGUGAAAUUUAUGGGCUUAACCCAUAACCUGCAUUUGAAACUGUCGCUCUUGAGUGAAGAAGAGGUUGGCGGAAUUCCUAGUGUAGCGGUGAAAUGCGUAGAUAUUAGGAGGAACACCAGUGGCGAAGGCGGUCAACUGGGCUUUUACUGACGCUGAGGCUCGAAAGCGUGGGGAGCAAACAGGAUUAGAUACCCUGGUAGUCCACGCUGUAAACGAUGAUUACUAGGUGUGGGGGGACUGACCCCUUCCGUGCCGGAGUUAACACAAUAAGUAAUCCACCUGG